CUUGAUUGAAACUAAAAAAUAUUUAAAAAUGAAAAUUGAUUAUAAAAUUUGAGGGCUAUUGGAGUUGUCCACUAUAGUGACGGAAAUAGAAUUUUGGGGCUAUGGAUAACAAAAUUGAGGCUAUAGACAAAAACUGGGGUGAGGCUAUUGGGCAUGUCUGCUGAACACCCUGAAAGACUCUCUCUCUCCCUUCCUCCUCUCUCUCUUUCUUCUUCAGCCACAAUCAACUUUGUGAUUUUUACCGGAGUACAACCCAACACACUGUUGUAACUAUCAAUAAUCCAUGCUCGUCUUCCUACAUCUCUGAUGCCGAGUAGGACCAGUAGGUGGAGGCGGCGAAGAAAAAAGGAGUCUGAGACAAGUCUGGUGUUGAGCCGUCGUGGGUGGAGAAGAAGAGAGCUACUAAUCUGUUUCACUAAUUUUUUUUAUAUUUCAAUUAUACUCCUAUUUAUUAAUUUAGGAUUUUAGUGUUAAGGAAAUAAUGAAUUUUUCCUAUUUUUGAAA